UUUUUUUGGUUUUUCGAGACAGGGUUUCCCUGGAACUCACUUUGUAGACCAGGCUGGCCUCGAACUCAGAAAUCCACCUGCCUCUGCCUCCCGAGUGCUGGGAUUAAAGGCAUGCGCCACCAUACCUGGCUAAAAAUGGCCAUUUUUAAUGUGUAUUAUUUUCAAUAUUUCCUCUAGAUAAAUUCAUAGACAAAGUUUUUAAGAUGACAGUAUUCAUGUUUAAAGUUUUGUUUUUUUUUUUUAACAUACACUGCCAGGAUACUUUCCAGGACAGUGGGCCAAUUUUAUUCUUCCCGUGGUAACUAUUUAUAUCAAAUAGUUUAUAUCAAUGUUUUUAUUAAUUUGAGAAUAUCAUAUAAUAUAUUUUGACAGUAUUCACCCUUACUCCUUUUACAGAAUGGCUGUUAGUAAAACAAACAAAACAAAACCCUAGCAAAUGUUGAGAAUUGGAGUAUGGAGAGAAGGGAGCCUUCACUUGCUGGUGGGGGAAUGUGAAUUAGUCUAGCCACUAUAGAAACCUGGAGGUUUUUCAGAAAAGUAUACUUUUACUUUUUCUUUUCAUGUAGGGUCUCUUGUGGCCAGAGAUGCUCUUGAAUUCCUUAUCCUCCUGCCUCCACCUCCCAUGUGCUGGGAUGAGCAGCCCGUGCCAGCACACCUCACUUUGUUUAUUUGCCUGUAUGUUUAUUGAAGCAGGUCUCAUUCUGUAGCACAGGUUGGUCUGGAACUCUCUGUAACCCUGCUGGCUGUGAGGUUGUGGCUAUUCUCCUGCCUCUCCCUCCUAAAUGAAGUUAAACACGUGUGCCACUACUGGAUGUCUAGAGACUUUUGAAAUGCCUAUACAUGCUUCUGUAUUCCUAGACCAUUUUUGGAAGGAUACAUAAGAGACUAGUGAGAGUGAUUGAUUGCUUCUAGGAAGGGCCCUGGAGGUUUAAGGUACAGGAGUGGAUAGAUAGAGGUUGAAUUCGUUAGGUGGUUUAUGUCCACUUAAUAGGUGUUUUUAAAGUCAAAGUCACACUGUAAAACAAUUAGUUGUUCUGUACCUUAUUUGAAAAUAGGGUUUUCAUAGAAAAAUCAAUUUAAGAUGAUACCAUCAGAGUGAACUCUAGUUUAUUCUGGCUGCCCUGGCUGUUCUGGAACUCCCUAUGUAAACCAGGUUGGCCUUGAUUUCACAGAUCUGCCUGUCUCUGUCUCCCAAGUGCUAAGCUUAGAGGUAUGUACCACCAUUCCCAGCAAAGCUACUUCUUAAUGUAUUUUUACCACAUCGAGAAAAUAUCCUUCAAAUUUGAAUAUUUUGUUUAUUCAUUGUUUUAAAUAGCACACAAUUAUUAUAAAAGCAUCCAUACAUAAUUAAUAGACCAUAGGAACUUUUGUUUCUUUCUUAUAUUCUUAAAUUUUUGUAUGUAAUUAUAUUUUAUUACUUGUGUGCAUUGUACCAUAAAUAUUAAAGAGUUCUGCCAAAAAGAAAGUAGGUGUUCUAAGUGUGUAUGUGGGGAGUGAUCUAUAAACUAUCAAUGACAGGUAGAUACUACAUAGUUAAUCUUAAUCUUUAUUAUUAUCUUAUAUAUACUAGUGUUUUGUUUGCAUGUGUGUGUAUGGGCACAUGAGUACCUGAUUUCUCCAGAGGCAAGAGGGCUAUUGGAUCCCCUGGAAAUAGAGUUACAUACAGUUGUGAGCUGCCAUAUUGGUGCUAGGAGCUGACCCCAAGUCCUCUGAAAGAACAGCCAGUGAUCUUAAUUGCUAAGUUAUCUCUCAUGCAUCCUAUGUAUGUUUUUUAAGAUGGGGUUUGUGGUAUAAUCCUACUAAAAACCCAUCAAGUCAGGCUAAGGAUAUAGCUCCAUGAUAGAGCACUGGCCCCCAAUAUGAUCCACAGGAGAACAUACACAACAAAAAGAAGAGAAUGCAAAGUCUUUAUGUAAAAACAUAUACUAGGAUUUUGUUUGUGUAAAAUGAUUUUUCUAUCUAAAACAUUAUGGUACUAGAACUCAUUAAAAGAAUAUAAAUGUGUUAGGCAUAGCUUUCUGCAGUCCCAGUUUAUGAAAGGCUGAGGCAGGAGGAUGGUGAGUUUAUUGCUAGCUCUAGACAAACCUGGGCUAACCUCUGAUAAAACCUUGUUUCAACUCUCCCCUUGCUCCCAUAAAAUAAAUAAAUGCACACCAGAAGCUUGAAAUGAUGCUACAGGCCUGUAAUCCUAGCACUUAGAGAGCUAAAGAGGAGGAUGACAAGUUCAGUAGCUUGCCUGGACUACAAAGCAGGGUCAAGGUGAGUCUGCUGAGUGAUAGCUACCCGGUCUCAGACUUUAGAAUGGGCUAGUGAGAUGCCUCAGCAGUUAAAGAAAGCAUUGCUGUGCUAGCCGGCUGAAUCAAGUUCAGUCCCCAGAAGCCGUGCAGAGGUGGGAGGAAGAGCUGACUCCAUCCACAAAGCUCCACUCUGGCUCUGUAUACUCAUGCUCUGGAUUGCGUAUGCCUUUCCCCCAAGUGUGCACAUAAAGUUAAGUUUUGAAGGUAAGUGAAAAUGUUAAAACCCUAAGAUAGGUGAGGAUAUAAUCCAGCCUUCUGUCUCUUUCUUGCCUAGUACUUGUAAGGUUAGUCUCCAGCACCACAAAGCAACAAAAAGCUUACUAAUAUUACAAAUAAGCAGACAAGAAUUCCAGUAAGACUGAAAAGUAGGGCUAUAUUAUGAAAGGAGUCUCAUUAUAGAGGCAAUGAAAUUUACCUUUUAAAACUAUUUAGAGUUGCCAGGAGGUGGUGGGACAUGUAUUCCCAGUGCUCGGAGGCGGGGGCAGGUGGAUGUCUUGAUUUCGAGGCCAUUCUGGUUUGCAGAGUGAGGUCCAGGACAGUCAGGACUGCACAUGGAAACCCAGUCUCUAAAAAU
rnacentral:lncRNA from 1 species